CCAUUACAUCAACAUCAACUGUAAAGAAAUGAACCAGCUUGAUGGCACGCUGAUGAGGAUUUUUUCUGUCACGUAGAUUCCGUGUCCUCUUGACUCUUCAUUAAUAUGAACCCUUCUGAAGUUUUCUUGCAUAAAUCUGGAUUAGAGGGAGGACUGAUGUCUUCCAACCCAGCAGCCUUCGGGAGUAACCUCAGCUUUCAGCCUUUCUGUUGGAGCUAUUGCCCUUGAAGGAACCCUGCCCAAGAGGAGCCCUUGACCUUCAAACUGGAGAUUAUCAAUGGAGACACGGUGCUCUUCGUCUGACUUUGGGACUUCAGCCACCAGCCCCGAGAGCAGGAGGGUCUGGGUAUGAUUGGAAAAGCAUUGCUUUCUCCAUCUGCCCUGCGAGCCAGACAGACCCCUUCAUUUCCUUCUGCUCACAGCUCUGCGUUCUCCGAAUCAUCUACUCCUCAGCUGGCCAGAUGGAUCAGCCAUGACGCGGGGCCUCCCCUGGGUUCCAUGAAGAGCCGGGCUGUUUGAACGGGGCCUGAGGCUGUUGACUGCUUCCUGAUGACUCAGUGUCCAUACGGGGAAUUUGUGGUGAGCAGUUAGGAGCUUGGGGGACUGCUGACCAUGGGGAUUAGCCAGUCUACCCACCUUCCCUGAACAUCAGCGCCCCAGAUAACAUUUGGGAAUGAUCUAGGUGCCCUUGGCCGGAGAGAGUGCUGACAGUGCCCGCAGGAGGCUGUGUCUCCAUCAGAUUGGAAGUCAGUGAGUCCCCGGCAUGAGCCUUGUGUAGCCUGGAAAGGACUGGCUGGGGGCCCCCUCGGAGUCUGAGCGGAGGACUGGUCCUCUGGUUUGGCCCACGCCACUUGGCAAGCACAUCAGGAGGAGGCUGACCUGGUCCUUAGGCCCACACACCGGGCGAGAUCUUGCACAACAGGGAAGGGGGGCUGUGAGACCUGGACCGUGUCCACCUGCCCACUCAGGCCUUCCUGCCUCCCUCCCUCCCACCGCACAGAGCUUUGCUCAGUUUACCCAACGUGCCAGCUACAUGUCCGUCUCGAGGCAUUUCUUCUCUAAUUCUCGGAAGAAACUUCCUUCCCCUGUUCACUUUUCCAGCCCCCUUUCAUCCUUUUUAACUCAAAGAGCCACCUGAGAGGGGCUUUCUCCAUCCCCCAACUGAAAGUGUAUUUUUCCCCCAUUUGGUUAUUCUCUAUUUUCACAUCUUUUAUGUUUCUUUCCAAGUUGUUGGCCGUAGAAAGUGUCAUUUUUUAAUUUUCUGCUUGCUUAUCUGUUUUCUUCUUGGUCUUCCCUGCUGGAUUGUAAGGUAGCCAAGGUCUGGGACUGUGUUGAUCUUGCUCACCAUCAGAUACCAGCAACCAGGGCAGUGCUUGGCACCUAGCAGGGGUAGGGGCUCAGUGACUACUUGCUGAGGGAGGGAGUGAGCUGAGCCACUGCAGCCGUCUCUAAAUCAGAGCCAUUCCCUACAUAUUCUCCUAUGGCCUGCUUGACUCACGCAAUAUUGUUUCUAGGGUUGAUGGAGAUGUGGCAUUACUUUUCAUUGCUGCAUGGUAUUCCACUGAAGAACUAUCUUACCAUUUAUAAACUGUACUGUUCUUGGGGUUUCAGGCAUUUCUAAAUUUUGUUCCAUAAACAACGCUGUUGUGAACAUUUUGUCCAUGUCUCCUGGGGUGCACAUGCCAGUGUUUCUCUAGAAGAGAAAUUUGGGUCAUGUUCAUGCGAUCCAUAUUCAAAUGAAAGCAUAGGAGUAAAUUAAUUAAAGCAGCGGAGGGGCUCCCUGACAUAUAAGUUGCGGUGAACAGUCAUUUGACACAGACACACAACAUCACUAACUCCUCUUCUUCAACACCAGCUGCCUACCCACCAUAAGGCAAGAGUCACCAUUGGCCCAGUCAGGAGCCAUGGAGGGCCUAGCAUUUCCUGAGCUGUGGAGUAUGUCACCUCCUUCCUUAGUGGCAAACAGGCUCAAGUUUUGAACAACCUUUGGGAGCAGGAUUAAGGGAACACCCAUUUACUGAGUACCUAACUAGUAGGCAAAUUGUCAGGCAUUUGACAUGUAGGAUUUUGGUAUCUCAUUUCAUCUCUACAGAUACUCUUUGACAUGGAGAGUGUUGUCCCCAUUUUGCAGGCGGGCAAACUGAGGCUCAUGGAGGUUGAGAAAUUUGUUCAAGGUCACUGUCCGGGGUGGUGAAGGUGUGAUUCCAGUCUUGCCUCAUUAUUCCUUCUCACAGGUUGGCACAUGCUAGUUCUCUGCAAAUCUGUGUGUAUGUGUGGAGGGAGGAAGGAAGACAUGGAAUGGGUGACUGCUUAAAACAAAAGCAAAACUCUGGCAGGUUCACAUGCUUAGUCUUAAUGAGCUGCUAGCUCUGCCUGCCCCACUGCACCCUGGUCCUGAUCCUUGUAGCGGAGCUGAAGAAUAGACUGAAAUCACCAGGGGUCUUUGCUGCAGGGGGUGGCCAGGGCUUUGCAUGGCCUCUUGUCCUGGGUGAACCGCCAUGUUUCUGACCUUGAGAAUGACCUAAAGUGAAGCACCAGCCGGCAGGUAAGGACAUGGCACUGGCCCAUCCUGUGCUUGCUCAGGAAGCCCCCGGCCUGAGGCCAGCCCCCUGUUUUCCGCUGCAGGAUUUCAAAGAGACGUGUACAGAGGGAUCCCUAAUCCCCCCCAAGCCCUAGGGAGGAGGUGGUAUUACCUCCAGGUUGGGGUGGGGAGGGGCUGAUUCACUGUGGAAGUCAUAAAUCAGGGGGCUGGGUAGCCUGGGGCGGCGGAGAAAUCCUCAGUGCUGGGAACCAAAAUGCAAAAAUGCUGCCGGGUCCAGCUGGGGCCCGGGUCAGGGCAGGAUGCUGGGACUCGCCUGAAGCCAUUGGAAGCGGGAAUGAGGUCCAGUCCCGGGCCCAGGUGUCCUCCCGCUUUGGUCCUUGAAAACCCAUCCGAAGGGUUGCAAGUCCUCGCUCAGAGCUCAGCCCGCAGCCCCUGUAGUCAAUUAGGAAAAACAAACUGGGAUUGUUGUGAUCGAUGAUGUUGAUGCUGCCAUGGAGGGAGACAGCAUAGCCCUUAAAAGACAAGCUCACUUUGGAACAUUGAUUUACUGCAGGGGCUCGGUAACCGGCCUACAUUGCUACUUGAAAGCAUGACAGCGUUC